GACGAACGCUGGCGGCGUGCCUAAUACAUGCAAGUAGAACGCAGUUGUGAACGGGUGAGUAACGCGUCGGUAACUGCCUGGUAGCGGGGGAUAACUAUUGGAAACGAUAGCUAAUACCGCAUACUACCAGAUGGACCUUCGUUGUAUUAGCUAGUUGGUGAGGUAACGGCUCACCAAGGCAACGAUACAUAGCCGACAGGAGAGGGUGAGCGGCCACACUGGGACUGAGACACGGCCCAGACUCCCACGGGAGGCAGCAGUAGGUAAUCUUCGGCAAUGGGGGGAACACGGACCGGGCAACGCCGCGUGAGUGAAGAAGGGUUUCGGAUCGUAAAGCUCUGUUGUUAAGGAAGCGGUACUUAACCAGAAAGGGACGGCUAACUACGUGCCAGCAGCCGCGGUAAUAC
rnacentral:rRNA from 1 species